GUUCGAUCAUGGCUCAGAUUGAACGCUGGCGGGAUGCUUCCAUGCAAGUCGAACGGCAGCACGGACUUCGGUCCUGGUGAGUGGCGAGCAGUUCGGUAAUGUCUGGAGACGUGCCUAGUAGCGGGGGAUAACUACGCGAAAGCGCUAAUACCAUACGCCCCGGGAAAGACGGGGACCUUCGGGCCUCGCACUAUUAGAGCAGCCGAUAUCGGAUUAGCUAGUUGGUGGGGUAACGGCUCGCAGGCGACGAAUCCGUAGCUGGUUGAGAGGACGACCAACCACACUGGGACUGAGACGCAGCCCCAAGACUCUGCGGAAGCAGCAGUGGGAAUUACACGGACAAUGGAAACCCUGAUCCAAAGCCCAUCCCGUGUACAGUAGAGGCCUUCAGGUUUGUAAAGCACCUGGCGGAAAGAAACGCUGCGGGAUAAUACCGGCCAUGACGACACCUGCAGAAUAAGCACCGGCUAACACGUGCCAGCAGCCGCGGUAAUACGUAGGAAUUACAAGCGCGUUAAUCGGAAUUACUGGGCGUAAAGCGUGCGCAGGCGGACGGAAAAAGAAGAUCUUGAAAUCCGGAAGCUUAGACUGUUUUAACUACCAUGACCAGAGUGUGUCAGAGAGGGAGGUGGAAUUCCGCCAAAUAUUAGCAGUGAAAUGCAUGCAGAUAUGCGGAGAGACACCGGUGGCGGGGGCAGACCUCAACAGGAUAACGGCAGCGACCAUGCGACGUGGGGAGCAAACAGGAUUAGAUGCCCCUGGUGGCAGUGCUGCCUAAACGAUGUCAACUAGCGCUGUUGGGACCUUCGGAACCUUGACCAUACCAGCCUUUUGCGCGUGAAGUUAGCCGCCUGGGGAGUACGGUCAGCAGAUUAAAACUCAGGAAUGGCGGGGGAUACCACAAGCGAUAUUGGAUGAUGUGGAUUAAUUCGAUGCAACGCAAGAAUAUUCGCCUAUAACCAGCGUAAUGCAGAACCGAAGAGAUUUGGGAGUGCUCGCAAAGAGAACCGGAACACAGGUGCUGCAUGGCUGUCGUCAGCUCGUGUCAUUGAGAUACAUUGGAUUCAGUCACAACGCGAGCGCGACCACUUGUCAUUAGUUGCUACGAAAGGGCACUCUAAUGAGACUGCCGGUGACAAACCGGAGGAAGAUUGAGGAUGACGUCAAGUCCUCAUGACCCUUAUGGGUGGGCUUCUACACGUCAUACAAUGGUGGGACGAGGUCGCCAACCCUUGUGAGAGCCAAUCAAGGCGAUCGUAGUCCGGAUCGCAGUCACAACUCGACUGCGUAGGUCAGGACCUCCGCUAGUAAUCGCGCGGAUAUGUCGCGGUGAAUACGUUCCGGGUCUUGUACACCGCCCGUCUACACCAUGGGAGUGGUUACGAAGUAGUUAGCCUAACCCAAUAGGGCGAUUACCACGGUAGGAUUCAUGACUGAAUUUGAAGUCGUAACAAAAUUAUUC
rnacentral:rRNA from 1 species